rnacentral:lncRNA from 1 species
CGUUAACAAUUAUUAUUAUAUAGUUUCAUUACUGAAAACUUAUCUUAAUCAUUAACUAAAAUCCAAAACACAUAAUAGUUGUUUGGAAUCAUAUAUAAAUGUAUAAAAAAUUUUUUUAGGUCGGAGGGGGGAUUUGACAUCUUCCUCAGCAAAUAUGAAGACUGAUGCAUCUUGUAAUACUACUACUCAAAUAAGGUCAGAGGGGGUAACCGCUACUUCCUUCUUCAAAAAUAAAUACUCUGGAUGCAUCUUGUAAUACUACUACUGUAAUAUGGUCAGAGGAGGAGGGAUACGCCCUUUUCUCGUGUCUUUGUGUACACCACCACUUUUUUAAAGAUGUAAAAAAAAUUAUUCAUUUUAUAAACUUGAUCUAUUAGAUGUAUAUUUUGAAAUAAAGAUAAAAAUAAUUAUGAGAAUGAUUGUUUUUUUUAAUUA